AUCCCAUAAACCGUGGCUCAGUUCAGAUCGUAGGCUGCAACUCGCCUACGUGAAGCAGGAAUCGCUAGUAAUCGCAGGUCAGCAUACUGCGGUGAAUACGUUCCCGGGCCUUGUACACACCGCCCGUCACACCAUGGAAGUUGGCCAUGCCCGAAGUCGUUACUCCAACCCUUGUGGAGGAGGACGCCGAAGGUGGGGCUAAUGACUGGGGUGAAGUCGUAACAAGGUAGCCGUACCGGAAGGUGCGGCUGGAUCACCUCCUAA
rnacentral:rRNA from 1 species